rnacentral:rRNA from 1 species
CAGCCGCCGCGGGAAUACGUAGGGUGCAAGCGUUAAUCGGAAUUACUGGGCGUAAAGCGUGCGCAGGCGGUGCUGUAAGACUGAUGUGAAAUCCCCGGGCUCAACCUGGGAACUGCAUUGGUGACUGCAACGCUGGAGUGCGGCAGAGGGGGAUGGAAUUCCGCGUGUAGCAGUGAAAUGCGUAGAUAUGCGGAGGAACACCGAUGGCGAAGGCAAUCCCCUGGGCCUGCACUGACGCUCAUGCACGAAAGCGUGGGGAGCAAACAGGAUUAGAUACCCCCGUAGUCCCUGUCUCUUAUAC